AGUCUCUUAUUUUUUUUUUUUUCAUAUCUUUUCACCACAAACACAAACAGUUCUAAAACUCAGAUUCAUAUUCGAAUAAGAAGGGGCCUGAAUACCAACAGUUUGUUCUGACCAACUUCAGGUAGCACACAUGGUUUCAAACCCGGGUCUCUCGUGUACCUCUGAGUUUGGUGCGAAAGCCCAACCAGUUAGUCGUCUAGCCGUUCAAAAAAAAAGGCGACUCGAGUGAUAAGGUAGCUGAUAAAGCCAGGAGUGAUACACGGCUUAAAGGAAAGCUAUAAGGUGAUAGCAAGGACCUCACAGAUGAAGAUCAAGCGAAUAGAAGAACCGAACACGUCUAAAAGACAUGUUUCCGCAUUUUGUUGUUUUGAUUAUCAAACAUAUCCAUGAUAAAAUGUCGAAAUGUUUGGAGAAUCUAGGAUGCUUUAUGAAACCCUAAGUUUUAUAAUGACAUGUUAUAAACUCUUUAUUAAACUCAAAAUUAUAAAUGGAUGUUGAU